rnacentral:rRNA from 1 species
UACGUAGGGUGCGAGCGUUAAUCGGAAUUACUGGGCGUAAAGCGUGCGCAGGCGGUGAUGUAAGACAGAUGUGAAAUCCCCGGGCUCAACCUGGGAACUGCAUUUGUGACUGCAUCGCUGGAGUGCGGCAGAGGGGGAUGGAAUUCCGCGUGUAGCAGUGAAAUGCGUAGAUAUGCGGAGGAACACCGAUGGCGAAGGCAAUCCCCUGGGCCUGCACUGACGCUCAUGCACGAAAGCGUGGGGGGCAAACAGG